CAUGUAGGCGGGGAUAUAAGUCAGAUGUGAAAUCCUGUGGCUCAACCACAGACGUGCAUCUGAAACUAUAUCUCUUGAGUGUUGGAGAGGAAAGCGGAAUUCCUAGUGUAGCGGUGAAAUGCGUAGAUAUUAGGAGGAACACCGGUGGCGAAGGCGGCUUUCUGGACAAUAACUGACGCUGAGAUGCGAAAGCGUGGGGAGCAAACAGGAUUAGAUACCCUGGUAGUCC
rnacentral:rRNA from 1 species